rnacentral:rRNA from 1 species
GCUCAGAAACUCCAAUGAAUUGACGGGACCCGCACAAGCAGCGGAGCAUGUGGUUUAAUUCGAAGCAACGCGAAGAACCUUACCAGAUCUUGACAUCCAAUUGACCAUCUUUUAAUCGAGAUUUUGCCUUCGGGUACAAUUGAGACAGGUGGUGCAUGGUUGUCGUCAGCUCGUGUCGUGAGAUGUUGGGUUAAGUCCCGCAACGAGCGCAACCCCUACCUUUAGUUGCCAUCAGGUUAAGCUGGGGACUCUAAAGGAACUGCCUACGCAAGUAGUGAGGAAGGCGGGGAUGACGUCAAAUCAGCACGGCCCUUACGUCCAGGGCUACACACGUGCUACAAUGGCCGAUACAGAGGGCAGCUACCUGGUGACAGGAUGCAAAUCUCCAAAGUCGGUCUCAGUUCGGAUCGGAGUCUGCAACCCGACUCCGUGAAGUUGGAUUCGCUAGUAAUCGUGAAUCAGAAUGUCACGGUGAAUACGUUCCCGGGCCUU